AGUGAACGCUAGCGGUAGGCCUAACACAUGCAAGUCGAACGGCAGCACAGGAGAGCUUGCUCUCUGGGUGGCGAGUGGCGGACGGGUGAGGAAUACAUCGGAAUCUACUUUUUCGUGGGGGAUAACGUAGGGAAACUUACGCUAAUACCGCAUACGACCUACGGGUGAAAGCAGGGGACCUUCGGGCCUUGCGCGAUUGAAUGAGCCGAUGUCGGAUUAGCUAGUUGGCGGGGUAAAGGCCCACCAAGGCGACGAUCCGUAGCUGGUCUGAGAGGAUGAGCAGCCACACUGGAACUGAGACACGGUCCAGACUCCUACGGGAGGCAGCAGUGGGGAAUAUUGGACAGUGGGCGCAAGCCUGAUCCAGCCAUACCGCGUGGGUGAAGAAGGCCUUCGGGUUGUAAAGCCCUUUUGUUGGGAAAGAAAUCCAGCUGGCUAAUACCCGGUUGGGAUGACGGUACCCAAAGAAUAAGCACCGGCUAACUUCGUGCCAGCCGCCGCGGUAA
rnacentral:rRNA from 1 species